rnacentral:snRNA from 1 species
AGCUUUGCGCAGUGGCAGUAUCGUAGCCAAUGAGGUUUAUCCGAGGCGCGAUUAUUCCUAAUUAAAAUAAGUACAAAAGAAAGCAUGGGUGACUCCUAUCUGACUUACCUCAUCACUUAGGCAGCAAAAUGU